AGUGAACGCUGGCGGCAGGCCUAACACAUGCAAGUCGAACGGCAGCACAGAGGAGCUUGCUCCUUGGGUGGCGAGUGGCGGACGGGUGAGGAAUACGUCGGAAUCUGCCUAUUUGUGGGGGAUCACGUAGGGAAACUUACGCUAAUACCGCAUACGACCUACGGGUGAAAGCGGAGGACCUUCGGGCUUCGCGCAGAUAGAUGAGCCGACGUCGGAUUAGC
rnacentral:rRNA from 1 species